CUCAAAGGCCCCUCCAUUCGCAUCGUUCGGCACUACAAAGCUCGCCAAAAAGCUCUCGCCUUUCUCUCGCUCAAUCGCCCGCCUCGCUAGGGUUUCUCGGGAAAGUUUGGAGGGUUUCUGUGCCCGGUGACGAUGGCUCUGAAGACUGAUUUUUGUUGUUUUAGUGGUGUUGAGAUAUAUCCUGGGAAGGGUGUUGGAUUUGUUCGAGCUGAAUCUCAGAUUUACAGUAAUUUGAGCUUCCAAGACAAUGCAAGGGCAACUUUCCCAUCUCCAUCUUUGAGAAAUUGGAGGUCCCAUUUGAAAUAUGAUUCUAGGAUUCUGUGCAUGGCCCUGCAACAACAAACUGACAGACACAAAGUUGCAGUCAAGCCUUUAGAACUCGAGGAUGCUAAGGAACCACCUCUGAACCUGUACAAACCAAAGGAGCCUUAUACAGCGACAAUUGUUUCAGUGGAGAGGAUUGUUGGCCCCAAAGCCCCCGGGGAGACAUGUCAUAUUGUAAUUGAUCAUGGUGGCAAUGUUCCUUACUGGGAAGGGCAAAGUUAUGGUGUAAUCCCUCCGGGUGAGAAUCCAAAGAAACCUGGGGCUCCCCACAAUGUUCGGCUUUACUCUAUUGCAUCAACCAGGUAUGGGGAUUCUUUUGAUGGCAAGACAGGUAGCUUAUGUGUACGCCGCGCUGUUUAUUAUGACCCUGAGACUGGAAAGGAGGACCCGUCAAAGAAGGGUGUUUGCAGUAAUUUCCUUUGUGACUCAAAGCCAGGAGAGAAAAUUCAGCUUACAGGCCCUUCUGGAAAAGUAAUGUUAUUGCCAGAUGAUCCCAAGGCUACUCAUAUCAUGAUUGCAACUGGAACUGGUGUUGCUCCUUUCAGGGGCUACCUCAGACGCAUGUUCAUGGAAUCAGUUCCUACCUACCAAUUCAGAGGCCUGGCAUGGCUUUUCCUAGGAGUUGCAAAUUCUGACAGCCUUCUUUAUGAUGAUGAGUUUACCACUUAUCUGCGUGACCACCCUGAUAAUUUCAGAUACGAUCGGGCCUUAAGUAGGGAGCAAAAGAACAAGAGUGGGGGAAAGAUGUAUGUACAGGACAAGAUUGAGGAAUACAGUGAUGAAAUUUUCAAACUUUUGGAUGGAGGAGCACAUAUCUACUUCUGCGGGUUGAAGGGAAUGAUGCCUGGGAUUCAGGACACGCUGAAGAGAGUAGCAGAGCAAAGAGGGGAGAACUGGGAGGAGAAGCUAUCACAACUCAGGAAGAACAAGCAAUGGCAUGUUGAAGUCUAUUAGACAUUCCCCAUGAAGAGCCUACUGAUAGAGAAAGGGAACUUUAUCUUUUCUUCAGUAUCAGGAAGGAGAAGUAGCUCUCUUUUCCAGUUUGGAUUCAGAAAUCGAAAGGUGACAGCCAAGAUCUCUGGUUGCAUUUUGGAAUUUUCAUGAGGGGUGUUAGGCCUCCAGCCUAUUUGGGAAUCAGAUAAAUUGGUACAGCAGCUGUGAGUGGCUCCUUCAAAAAUCUUACAGGUAUGCCCAAUGUUUGGUUUGAUGCUUAAUGGACCCGGCAAUGAGAUAGAACAAACCAAUUAUUGCUUCACUGAUUAGCUAUUAGUUAAUUAAGCAAAUGAUAGCAACUUAUUGUGAUUUCUGCAUUUAUUCUAUUUUCUGGUUAUUCAGA